UAGCGUAUAUUAAAGUUGUUGCAGUUAGAACGCUCGUAGUCGGAUUUCGGGGCGGGCCGACCGGUCUGCCGAUGGGUACGCACUGGUCGGCGCGUCCUUCCUUCCGGAGACCGUGCCUACUCUUAACUGAGCGGGGGCGGGAGACGGAACGUUUACUUUGAAAAAAUCAGAGUGUUUCAAGCAGGCAGCUCGCUCUUGCAUGGAUUAGCAUGGGAUAAUGAAAUAGGACUUUGGUGCUAUUUUGUUGGUUUCGAACACCGAAGUAAUGAUGAGAAGGGACAGUCAGGGGCACUCGUAUUCCGCCGAGAGAGGUGAAAUUCUCAGACCAGCGGAAGACGAACCACUGCGAAAGCAUUUG
rnacentral:rRNA from 1 species